GAUGAAGAACGUAGCGAAAUGCGAUAAGUAAUGCGAAUUGCAGAAUUCAGUGAAUCAUCGAAUCUUUGAACGCACAUUGCGCCCGCCAGCAUUCUGGCGGGCAUGCCUGUUCGAGCGUCAUUUCAACCCUCAAGCUCUGCUUGGUGUUGGGGCCCUACGGUUGACGUAGGCCCUUAAAGGUAGUGGCGGACCCUCUCGGAGCCUCCUUUGCGUAGUAACUAACGUCUCGCAUUGGGAUUCGGAGGGACUCUUGCCGUAAAACCCCCAAAUUUUCUAAUGGUUGACCUCGGAUCAGGUAGGAAUACCCGCUGAACUUAAGCAUAUCAAUAAGCGGAGGA
rnacentral:misc_RNA from 1 species